CAUAUUCCUAUAAUACAACGAUUAACUUAGAUGAUUUAAUUUUCAAAAAUUUUUCAUAUUCAUUUUCAUUCGCCUGGACGGAUAUGAAAUAUAUAAACUCCAUUUGUCAGAAGAUUAAACCAUGUGAAAUUGUGAAGGUAGCGCAUUUUACACUUAUUGUGAAAGACUGGAAAUUGGUUGUUUUCGUUUCCAAAUUGCAAUUUUGUUUUUGUUAAGCCACUGACCUUGAAACAUAAUAAUAUUCGUGUAACACACAAAAAGAAUCUAAAUUUGGUAUCAUAAGUCGCAAGUCAUAAUUAAACUAUCAAAAAGA